GUCCAACCGGGGCUACAUAAGAAGUUAUAAGCUAGUUGGUGCUACAGAGAAAGACUUUCUCUUAAAAAGUAAAAACUAUUAUGGUUUUCUUAGGUGUUUGAAUGGGG
ensembl:miRNA